CAGCCGCGCGGGAAUACAGAGGGUGCGAGCGUUAAUCGGAUUUACUGGGCGUAAAGCGUGCGUAGGUGGUGGUUCAAGUCCGUUGUGAAAGCCCUGGGCUCAACCUGGGAAUUGCAGUGGAUACUGGGUCACUAGAGUGUGGUAGAGGAUAGUGGAAUUUCCGGUGUAGCAGUGAAAUGCGUAGAGAUCGGAAGGAACAUCUGUGGCGAAGGCGACUAUCUGGGCCAACACUGACACUGAGGCACGAAAGCGUGGGGAGCAAACAGGAUUAGAUACCCCCGUAGUCCCUGUCUCUUAUACA
rnacentral:rRNA from 1 species